AGAGUUUGAUCCUGGCUCAGGACGAACGCUGGCGGCGCGCCUAACACAUGCAAGUCGAACGAGCGAGAGAGAGCUUGCUUUCUCAAGCGAGUGGCGAACGGGUGAGUAACGCGUGAGGAACCUGCCUCAAAGAGGGGGACAACAGUUGGAAACGACUGCUAAUACCGCAUAAGCCCACAGCUCGGCAUCGAGCAGAGGGAAAAGGAGCAAUCCGCUUUGAGAUGGCCUCGCGUCCGAUUAGCUAGUUGGUGAGGUAACGGCCCACCAAGGCGACGAUCGGUAGCCGGACUGAGAGGUUGAACGGCCACAUUGGGACUGAGACACGGCCCAGACUCCUACGGGAGGCAGCAGUGGGGAAUAUUGCACAAUGGGGGAAACCCUGAUGCAGCGACGCCGCGUGGAGGAAGAAGGUCUUCGGAUUGUAAACUCCUGUUGUUGAGGAAGAUAAUGACGGUACUCAACAAGGAAGUGACGGCUAACUACGUGCCAGCAGCCGCGGUAAAACGUAGGUCACAAGCGUUGUCCGGAAUUACUGGGUGUAAAGGGAGCGCAGGCGGGAAGACAAGUUGGAAGUGAAAUCUAUGGGCUCAACCCAUAAACUGCUUUCAAAACUGUNUUUCUUGAGUAGUGCAGAGUAGGCGGAAUUCCCGGUGUAGCGGUGGAAUGCGUAGAUAUCGGGAGGAACACCAGUGGCGAAGGCGGCNUACUGGGCACCAACUGACGCUGAGGCUCGAAAGUGUGGGUAGCAAACAGGAUUAGAUACCCUGGUAGUCCACACCGUAAACGAUGAUUACUAGGUGUUGGAGGAUUGACCCCUUCAGUGCCGCAGUUAACACAAUAAGUAAUCCACCUGGGGAGUACGACCGCAAGGUUGAAACUCAAAGGAAUUGACGGGGGCCCGCACAAGCAGUGGAGUAUGUGGUUUAAUUCGACGCAACGCGAAGAACCUUACCAAGUCUUGACAUCCCUUGACGAACAUAGAAAUAUGUUUUCUCUUCGGAGCAAGGAGACAGGUGGUGCAUGGUUGUCGUCAGCUCGUGUCGUGAGAUGUUGGGUUAAGUCCCGCAACGAGCGCAACCCUUACUGUCAGUUACUACGCAAGAGGACUCUGGCAGGACUGCCGUUGACAAAACGGAGGAAGGUGGGGAUGACGUCAAAUCAUCAUGCCCUUUAUGACUUGGGCUACACACGUACUACAAUGGCGUUAAACAAAGAGAAGCAAGACCGCGAGGUGGAGCAAAACUCAGAAACAACGUCCCAGUUCGGACUGCAGGCUGCAACUCGCCUGCACGAAGUCGGAAUUGCUAGUAAUCGUGGAUCAGCAUGCCACGGUGAAUACGUUCCCGGGCCUUGUACACACCGCCCGUCA
rnacentral:rRNA from 1 species